AUCGACGACAACGACUACGACGUGAAGAUGCGCGCCGCGCGCCGCUUCCUGGAGGAAGGCGACAAGGUCAAGAUGACCAUGCGCUUCCGUGGCCGUGAAAUGGCCCACCAGGACCUCGGCAUGAACGUGCUGCUGCGUGUCCGCGACGAGUUGGAGGCGAUGGCCAAGGUCGAGCAGAUGCCGCGCCUGGAAGGGCGCCAGAUGAUCAUGGUCCUCGCGCCGAGGUGAUCGGCGCGCGUCCGGCCGUUCCUUCCCGCAUGACGGACUCGUCAUGAUGGAAAGGCGGCCGUUUGGCGUUCACGAAAAA
rnacentral:misc_RNA from 1 species